rnacentral:rRNA from 1 species
UACGUAGGGUGCAAGCGUUGUCCGGAAUUAUUGGGCGUAAAGAGCUUGUAGGCGGUUUGUCGCGUCUGCUGUGAAAUUUCGGGGCUCAACCCCGAACUUGCAGUGGGUACGGGCAGACUAGAGUGUGGUAGGGGAGACUGGAAUUCCUGGUGUAGCGGUGAAAUGCGCAGAUAUCAGGAAGAACACCCGUGGCGAAGGCGGUUCUCUGGGACGGUACUGACGCUGAGACGCGAAAGCGUGGGGAGCGAACGGG